rnacentral:rRNA from 1 species
GAUCCUGGCUCAGGAUGAACGCUAGCGGCAGGCCUAACACAUGCAAGUCGAGGGGCAUCACAGGUAGCAAUACCGGGUGGCGACCGGCGCACGGGUGCGUAACGCGUAUGCAACCUACCCAUAACAGGGGGAUAACACUGAGAAAUUGGUACUAAUACCCCAUAACAUCAGAACCGGCAUCGGUUUUGGUUGAAAACUCCGGUGGUUAUGGAUGGGCAUACGUUGUAUUAGCUGGUUGGUGAGGUAACGGCU